rnacentral:rRNA from 1 species
CACGGGAGCUUGCUCUUGGUGGCGAGUGGCGAACGGGUGAGUAAUACAUCGGAACGUACCCUGAAGUGGGGGAUAACGUAGCGAAAGUUACGCUAAUACCGCAUAUUCUGUGAGCAGGAAAGAGGGGGAUCGCAAGACCUCUUGCUUUAGGAGCGGCCGAUGUCGGAUUAGCUAGUUGGUGAGGUAAAGGCUCACCAAGGCGACGAUCCGUAGCGGGUCUGAGAGGAUGAUCCGCCACACUGGGACUGAGACACGGCCCAGACUCCUACGGGAGGCAGCAGUGGGGAAUUUUGGACAAUGGGCGCAAGCCUGAUCCAGCCAUGCCGCGUGAGUGAAGAAGGCCUUCGGGUUGUAAAGCUCUUUCGGUGGGGAAGAAAUUGCUUCGGUUAAUACCUGGAGUAGAUGACGGUACCCGCAUAAGAAGCACCGGCUAACUACGUG